CAGCAGCCGCGGGAAUACAGAGGGUGCGAGCGUUAAUCGGAUUUACUGGGCGUAAAGCGUGCGUAGGCGGCUUCUUAAGUCGGAUGUGAAAUCCCUGAGCUUAACUUAGGAAUUGCAUUCGAUACUGGGAAGCUAGAGUAUGGGAGAGGAUGGUAGAAUUCCAGGUAUAGCGGUGAAAUGCGUAGAGAUCUGGAGGAAUACCGAUGGCGAAGGCAGCCAUCUGGCCUAAUACUGACGCUGAGGUACGAAAGCAUGGGGAGCAAACAGGAUUAGAUACCCGCGUAGUCCCUGUCUCUUAUAC
rnacentral:rRNA from 1 species